UACGAAGGGAGCUAGCGUUGUUCGGAAUCACUGGGCGUAAAGCGCACGUAGGCGGAUCUUUAAGUCAGGGGUGAAAUCCUGGAGCUCAACUCCAGAACUGCCUUUGAUACUGAGAAGCUUGAGUCCGGGAGAGGUGAGUGGAACUGCGAGUGUAGAGGUGAAAUUCGUAGAUAUUCGCAAGAACACCAGUGGCGAAGGCGGCUCACUGGCCCGGUACUGACGCUGAGGUGCGAAAGCGUGGGGAGCAAACAGG
rnacentral:rRNA from 1 species